rnacentral:misc_RNA from 1 species
GAAAUGCGAUAAGUAAUGUGAAUUGCAGAAUUCAGUGAAUCAUCGAAUCUUUGAACGCACCUUGCACCCUUUGGAAUUCCGAAGGGUAUGCUCGUUUGAGUGUCAUUGUACUCUCACACUCUCUGAUCCUUUGGAUUCGGGGAGCGGUGGACUUGGGUGCUUGCCGCUUUUCGUUGUGGCUCACCUCAAAUGCGUUAGUGCACCUCCUGGUUGGACAUAGUACGGCGUGAUAAGUAUCUUCGCCGGCACCUCGCAAGAGGGUGGCCGAUCGAGAGCUCUGUGCUUUCAAACCGUCUUCGGACAACCUCUGACAACUUGACCUCAAAUCGAGUAGGACUACCCGCUGAACUUAA